AUCAGAGACCUACAUCUUCACCGGGGUGCUAGCUCUCUUGCAGAAGAUGUCUUUUUGAUGACUGAUUUGAAUUCUUCCCUGGAUCUCUCAGACUCUUUAGAGAAGAGAAGAAAUACAGGAGGAAGAAUAUAUGGAGGAGGAAGAAAAAAACUUUUGGAGAAAACCUCUUUUCUCUUUUUUUUUUUCUCUCUCUUCCCAAAAUUCUAGAUGAAAACCCUAGGUAUACCUCAUGCCUAAGAGGAGACCCUCUCCUCUUUUUUCUCUCACGCCAAAAGAAAGUCCAUCGCCCCUCUUAUCUAUUUUCUCACAUUAGAAAAUGUUCCACGCCCCUCUUAGAAGUGAAUUAUCGAUAGAAAUCUGAUUUUCAUUUAUUCCCAUGCACAAAACAAAAACCCUUUUUGUUGGUGUCCAAAAAGAUCAGGUUUAAACCUGAUUUGGAUAAGUAGGAUCCUUAUUUGAUAAGGACAUAAAUCAAAUUAAAACUUCACCUAAUAUGGCAUGGAGGGGCAUUAAGAGAGCUUGGGUGUUGAUUUUCUUCACACAAAACUUAGAUUACUGUGAAGAAAAGGCAUGGCUUUUAUG
rnacentral:lncRNA from 1 species